CCUCUCCAGAUGAACCCCCCUCAUUCCUCCCAUCUAACACCAACCUACACUGAACAAGUCCCUGGCGUAAGAAUUUCUUUAAAUCUUUUUCUUGAUUUGUCCGUGAGCUCUGGUCCGAUGCUGCUGUGAAAUCGUUGACGAGAGCUUAAAAACUGGGAAUUUGCGCUUCUGUUUCCACUGUGCGCCCUGAGCAUUGGUGUGUCGGUGGGCCUCCGUCACCAGGUGGAUCACCUCCCACUCGCUGUCGGUGGGCUCUGGACGGUUCUGGAGGGUUUUCACCAUUUCCUCCUUUUUGCGUCGCUCCCUGUUCUCUUCGAUCAGACGCCGUUUAGCCACCCGCUUUGAAUCAUCCAGCACCACUAGGAGGAGGAGGAGGAGGAGGGGGAAAACAGAAUGUGCCAUGGAAAAGAAAGCAAAAAAGAGGUGCACGAGGAUGUGGACAACGUGACGCACAUUCUCGCCAAUUGGUUUCACGCUAUUCCACUGAUUGACAGCAAUGUACCAGCGAACGCAGUGAAGAAGAAGACUGCUAACACACCUGGAUUUAAACAAUGCAUGAUUUAAAAUAUAUAUAUUUUUAAAAAUG